UCGUUACGUUACAAAGUUUUGGAGAAAUGCUCAUUUACAACACCCAACAUCUCUAUCACCUCAAGCUUCUGGCUGGACCAUAAAUGACGAUAAAUAUUAUUUUAUCUGGUUUGUUGGAGAGCAGUUACCAUCAUUAGUUGCCGACAUUAUCAUUAAAGAUAAUAGCUUAUUACAAGACGAUGAUAAUCCAAAAGACGACGAUGGCAAUGAAAAUGACAGUAGUGAUGAAGAUGAUGAUAAUUAUCAAGAUGCCUCCGUUUUUUGUGACACAAUUAUGGAUUAAAAAAUAUAAUUUUUGUUUACUUUCAUCCUUGAGAUAGAUUAUUACCUUAAUUUUGCACAAAAAUAAAUAAUUAUUUUAAUGCUA